AACGAACGCUGGCGGCAUGCCUAACACAUGCAAGUCGAACGAGAUCUUCGGGUCUAGUGGCGCACGGGUGCGUAACGCGUGGGAAUCUGCCCUUUGGUUCGGAAUAACAGUUGGAAACGACUGCUAAUACCGGAUGAUGACGAAAGUCCAAAGAUUUAUCGCCAGAGGAUGAGCCCGCGUAGGAUUAGGUAGUUGGUGUGGUAAAGGCGAACCAAGGCGACGAUCCUUAGCUGGUCUGAGAGGAUGAUCAGCCACACUGGGACUGAGACACGGACCAGACUCGGAAGGGAGGCAGCAGUGAGGAAUAAUGGACAAUGGGCGAAAGCCUGAUCCAGCAAUGCCGCGUGGGUGAUGAUGGCCUUAGGGUUGUAAAGCUCUUUUACCCGGGAUGAUAAUGACAGUACCGGGAGAAUAAGCUCCGGCUAACUCCGUGCCAGCCGCCGCGGUAA
rnacentral:rRNA from 1 species